rnacentral:rRNA from 1 species
UACGUAGGCAGCAAGCGUUGUUCGGAGUUACUGGGCAUAAAGGGUGUGUAGGCGGUUGUUUAAGUUUGGUGUGAAAUCUCCCGGCUCAACUGGGAGGGUGCGCCGAAUACUGAAUGACUUCGAGUGCGGGAGAGGAGAGUGGAAUUCCUGGUGUAGCGGUGAAAUGCGUAGAUAUCAGGAGGAACACCGGUGGUGUAGACGGCUCUCUGGACCGUAACUGACGCUGAGACACGAAAGCGUGGGUAGCAAACAGG